GAAGCGGCCACGGGGAAGGCAGGCGUGGGGGAGCUCUGCGGCGGCUCCGGGCUGGCCACGAGCCAGGGCAUCUGGGUAGGCACGGGGGUGAGGGGGGACCCGUCCGGACUAUCCGGCGGGUCUCGGAGGCCCUGCCAGGGGGCAUGGCGGAGGCCAGGCAGCGUGGUGGGCACGGGGCCCCGGGGGCUGGCGCUGUCCGAGCGGCUCCCGGGCUCCUCUCCUGAGGCCAGUCGUGGGGUGAGCCGGGCGGGGAGGCGGCGGGGAAGGGGCUCGGGGCCGGGAGCUCAAGCCCGCUCCUCGCUGGCGCCUCGGGAGCCUUUUCUUCGGCGCCUCCCUGGGGAACGGACGGCAAGGGCUCGCCGGGACUUGGCCUCUGGGUGGGCACCAAGGUGGGGGACGUGGUGUCCUGCCGUCGGGUGCUGCAGUUUGGGAGGGCGGGUGGGCGGGCGGUUAGGGCGCGGAGCCCCGGCGGGAGCCGCUCCCCCCACCCCGCCCCCCGGGCUGCUUGGGCGCCCCCACCCCGGCCCCUCCGCGUACCCGUCCUUGCCCUGGACCGGGCUGCUGGUGUGCAAGGGCGUGGAGGGCCCCGAGAGCUCGGAGGGCGCGCUGCGUGGAGCAUCACGGGGGGAGCGAGGCAGGGUGCUGUGCCCGCUGGGGCCCUCCCUCCAGGACGCCGGCUCGGGUGACUCUGGGGAAGGCGACAGGAGGGGCCAUGAGCCUGCGGCCCCCGCUGCCCAGCUUGGCCCUGUCUCCCUCUGUGCCGCCCCCCCCAUCUCCCUUCCCUGGGCGCUCGUCCUCACCUGCGGAUGCCAGGGGUCCUGCUGGGGCCAGGUGCCCAGGCAUCGGGUACCUGUCCCCUCCCUCCUCCGCGGGGAUCUCGUAGCUCAGCUUCCUGGGUGGUGGGUAGGGCGGGCUGCCCGGGGAGACGGAGCCGGCCCGGGGGGAGUGGGCACCGGAGCUGGGGUACCCCCUGCCCUCACCCGGGGAGCCACAGCUCUGAGGCACCCUGCCGUACGCCGGGCAGUAACUGGGGAGCGCUCCUCCGUAGCCGUAGGUCACCAGGGCCGGGUACCCCGGAUGCCCAUACCUGCCGUCGGGGCACAGGGCGCAGGAGCAGCCCUCGUGCCCGUCCUCGCUGGCCUUGGGCGGCUUCAGGCAGCCGUAGUCGGGCAUGGGGGCGUGGUGAUGGCCGCAGGCAGGCACCAGCAGGGGCAGCGGGUGCCCGGGGCGCAGCGGGUGCAGCAGAGGCUUGCCCGCCUCGCCCGCCCACCCCUCCCCGGCCUCCCGCUCCAGCCGCAGCCCGUACAGGGCCGCAGUGGGCAGCGCCAGCUUCUCCUCGCACGCGGGGCACGAGCACAGGGCGGGCAGCCCCGGGUCCUCCAGGAUCACCAGCUCCCGGUAGCCCGGGGCCCGGUAGCCGAAGUCCGCGCUGGCGGCUUUCCCCAGCUCCGGGCCGUAGGGGUAGGGCCCCUCGGACAGCGAGCGGCAGAGGCGCCUCUUUUCCACCGCGGCCUCGGCGUAGCCCUGGGGGUGCCCCUCGUAGCCCCCGUAGGCCAGCCGCCGCCGGUCCAGCGUUCCCUCCGGCCGGUAGUAGCCCCCGUUGGGGACCCCGCAGGGCUCCCGGUAGCCCUGGCGGCAGGAGCAGUGGCGGCUGAGGCCGGGCCUGUGGCCCGAGUACACUCCGAGCGGCGGCCCGCGGCCGCGGGGGGCUGCUCCUCGUCGUCCAGGAUGGCCGUCUCCCGCCCGGCGCCCCGGCCCGGCCCGGCCACCCCGCAGCCCCCCAGGAGGCGGUCCAGCUCCUGGCGCUCGGCGGCCGUCGGGGGAGGCCGGCCAGGGGACUCGGCGGCCGGCUCGGCGGUCAGCGUGGACGAGUGGCCGGAGUCGCUGCUGACGGAGAGCAUGGGGGGCGGAGGUGGCUCCGGGGAGGGUGCCGGCGGGGUCUGGCGGGGGGCCCGCUGCACCUGGGCGUAG
rnacentral:lncRNA from 1 species